rnacentral:pre_miRNA from 1 species
UUAAAAAAUUUGUAUGGAGUUGGAACGUUUGCGUACGUUUGCCGCUAGGGGCGCUGUUCAAACUGCAUACAAAUUUGAGUUA